AAUCGCGCACUCUAAACCUGUGAGAGCUUCUCUUCUGUUAGGAAAAGUCUUGCUUUACUGCUUCAAGAUGUUUCGAGAGCAGCUCUAGGUAGUACAAGCUUUUAACUCACAAGAAAAUGCCCAGCAAUAGUGGUAGUACUCUGGAGGUAAAUGAGACUCUUUCCCAGUAGAUCAACACUAUUUAUUCGUUUAAUAUGUGUGGGACUCUUUAAAUCUUUCUUUUUGGUGAGUUAUAGCUACUUGUAUCAUGGGAAGCCAUAAGAUGAAAGGCACCGCGUUGGGUUUAUAUCUGGUAGACGAUCACUUCCGGUGCAAUAUACAUAUUUACCAGGAUGUGACAUAGCUAUUCUUUGCAGUCAGUUUGCAGCACUUUUUCUCCAUUUUAUUAAUUAAAAUUGAUGAGCCACACCCAAAUUUUAAUUAAAAUUAAUGAGCCACACCUACUUAAGUGAAAUGGAACCCCCCUUUUAAUUUUUCUGGAUCUGCCAGUGUGUAUACUAUUCUCUCUCUAACUAGUCUCUCCGAGGACAACACCACACUUAAGAAAGUCCAUUGAGGAGCAACUAAAAACCUUCAGCCAAUCAGAAGCUCCCUUAUCUUGUGUCGACAAUAGGAAAUCCAGG